GGCUAACAGCAUCUGGUUGAAGUACAUCUACUCCAAUAGCACCUAAACUAACAUCAUCUGCUCUACUUCCAAUUUCACCUAUAGAAAAUUCGAGAUCAUAAAAUCUAGUACUACCUUUUUGCCUCACAUCAUUCUUUCUAUUCCUAGCUUGUACAUACUCUUCAUCAUUUGUCAUGAGCUCAUCAUCGCUCAAAAUCUCAUUAGAUUCAUUUAGCUCCAUUGGCAUGUACUCAAGAUCAUCAUCUUCAUUUACAGACUUCUCACCAUC
rnacentral:lncRNA from 1 species